GGAGGAAGGUGCCCUGCGUCUGAACGGAGGGGAGGAAGGAGCCUGCGCUGAACAGGGGAGAAGGAAGCCCUGCGUCUGAACAGAGGGGAGGAAGGAGCCCUGCGUCUAAAGAGCAGAGGGGAGGAAGGAGCCCUGCGUCUGAACAGAGGGGGAGGAGGAAUCCCUGCGUCUGAACAGAGGGAGGAAGGAGCCUCGUCUGAAAGGAGGGGAGGAAGGAGCCCUCGUCUGAACAAGGGAGGAAGAGCCCUGGUCUGAACAGAGGGGAGGAGAGGCCCUCGUCUGAACAGAGGGGAGGAAGGAGCCCUGCGUCUGAACGGAGGGGAGGAAGGUGCCCUGCGUCUGAACGGAGGGAGGAAGGUGCCCUGCAUCUGAACGAGGGGAGGAGGUGCCGCUUCUGAACGGAGGGGAGGAAGGUGCCCUGCGUCUGAACGGAGGGGAGGAAGGUAAUUAUAUCUAACAAACGACCACAGACAUUCCCCUCAUGACAGCACAGCUGUCGUUGCCGUGUGCCUGUCUGGCACGUUGAGAAACCAUCUAACCAUCUGUCCACAGAGCUUUACAAAUGUUUUAAACGUUUAACAGUCAAACAAUAGAAAACAAACAAAACCAUCUCCUCAUUUAAGCAGGUUAAUGUUUGGUUACCAGCUGACAGAGGUACGACACACAACUAAAACCAUCUCCCAUUUAAGCAGGUUAAUGUUUGGUUACCAGCUGACAGAGGUACGACACACAACUAAAACCAUCUCCUCAUUUAAGCAGGUUAAUGUUUGGUUACCAGCUGACAGAGGUACGACACACAACUAACCAUUCUCCUCAUUUAAGCAGGUUAAUGUUUGGUUUACCAGCUGACUGAGAGGUACGACACACACA
rnacentral:lncRNA from 1 species